GUGGUGAUUGGCAGCGUUGAAUCGCCUUCUUCAACUGGUCACUUUGGUGGCGGAAAGCCAAUAGUGAAACCUAUCUGAGCAAGAU
rnacentral:ncRNA from 1 species